rnacentral:rRNA from 1 species
GACGAACGCUGGCGGCGUGCUUAACACAUGCAAGUCGAACGGAAAGGCCCUGCUUUUGUGGGGUGCUCGAGUGGCGAACGGGUGAGUAACACGUGAGUAACCUGCCCUUGACUUUGGGAUAACUUCAGGAAACUGGGGCUAAUACCGGAUAGGAGCUCCUGCUGCAUGGUGGGGGUUGGAAAGUUUCGGCGGUUGGGGAUGGACUCGCGGCUUAUCAGCUUGUUGGUGGGGUAGUGGCUUACCAAGGCUUUGACGGGUAGCCGGCCUGAGAGGGUGACCGGCCACAUGGGGACUGAGAGAGGGCCCAGAAGCCUACGGGAGGCAGCAGGGGGGAAUAUGGCAGAAUGGGCGGAAGCCUGAUGCAGCAACGCCGGGUGCGGAAUAACGGCUUUCGGGUGGAAAACCGAUUUGGCAGGUGACGAGGAGGGAGUGACGGUAAUGGGUAAAGAAGCAACGGCUAACUACGUG